CAGUCCCUAGCCGCCAGCCCCCUCCUGGUCUGGUGCCCUCAGCCCCCUCUGUCCGUCCCUCUCUUCUCAGGCACCGAGAGUCAGGACACCCUGUGUCAGAACUGCCCCCCGGGGACCUUCUCUCCCAAUGGGACCCUGGAGGAAUGUCAGCACCAGACCAACCGAGCUUGGAAAAGUCAGACAGACCUCUGAGGUCUCAUCCUGGAGCUGCCACCAGCCCAGCCUCCCUGGGACCUGUCUUCACUGCCUGGGGCCCUGGGAGCCAGGGAGGCUCCCUGGGGCUGAGUGAACACCGGGCGCUGCACCUGCCUCUCCCACGUCCUCGGCCCCACUCCCGCAGGUGCAGCUGGCUGGUGACGAAGGCCGGACCUGGGACCAGCAGCUCCCACUGGGUAUGGUGGUUUCUCUCAGGGAGCCUCGUCAUCGUCAUUGUUUGCUCCACACUUGGCCUAAUCAUAUGUGUGAAAAGAAGAAAGCCAAGGGGUGAUGUAGUCAAGGUGAUCGUCUCCGUCCAGCGGAAAAGACAGGAGGCAGAAGGUGAGGCCACAGUCAUCGAGGCCCUGCAGGCCCCUCCGGACGUCACCACGGUGGCCGUGGAGGAGACAAUACCCGCAUUCACGGGGAGGAGCCCAAACCACUGACCCACAGACUCUGCACCCCGAUGCCAGAGAUACCUGGAGCGACGGCUGCUGAAAGAGGCUGUCCACCUGGCGGAACCAGCGGAGCCCGGAGGCUUGGGGGCUCCGCCCUGGGCUGGCUUCCGUGUCCUCCAGUGGAGGGAGAGGUGGGGCCCCUGCUGGGGUAGAGCUGGGGACGCCACGUGCCAUUCCCAUGGGCCAGUGAGGGCCUGGGGCCUCUGUUCUGCUGUGGCC
rnacentral:sRNA from 1 species